CUCGACUACAUGAAGCUGGAAUCGCUAGUAAUCGUAGAUCAGCAUGCUACGGUGAAUACGUUCCCGGGUCUUGUACACACCGCCCGUCACACCACGAGAGUUUGUAACACCCGAAGCCGGUGGAGUAAUCUUUUAGGAGCUAGCCGUCGAAGGUGGGACAAAUGAUUGGGGUGAAGUCGUAACAAGGUAGCCGUAUCGGAAGGUGCGGCUGGAUCACCUCCUUUCUAAGGA
rnacentral:rRNA from 1 species